UACGUAGGGGCAAGCGUUAUCCGGAAUCAUUGGGCGUAAAGGGUGUGUAGGUGGUAAUGUUAGUCUUCUGUUAAAUUCUUCGGCUCAACCGGGGGCAUGCAGGGAACGGCAUUUACUAGAGGAUGCGAGAGGCACAUGGAACUCAUGGAGUAGGGGUGAAAUCCGUUGAUAUCAUGGGGAACACCGAAAGCGAAGGCAAUGUGCUGGCGCACUCCUGACACUGAAACACGAAAGCGUAGGUAGCGAAUGGG
rnacentral:rRNA from 1 species